rnacentral:rRNA from 1 species
AUUGAACGCUGGCGGCAUGCCUUACACAUGCAAGUCGAACGGCAGCGGACCUUCGGGUGCCGGCGAGUGGCGAACGGGUGAGUAAUAUAUCGGAACGUACCUUUCAGUGGGGGAUAACGUAGCGAAAGCUACGCUAAUACCGCAUACGAUCUACGGAUGAAAGCGGGGGAUCGCAAGACCUCGCGCGAAUGGAGCGGCCGAUGGCAGAUUAGGUAGUUGGUGGGGUAAAGGCUCACCAAGCCUGCGAUCUGUAGCUGGUCUGAGAGGACGACCAGCCACACUGGAACUGAGACACGGUCCAGACUCCUACGGGAGGCAGCAGUGGGGAAUUUUGGACAAUGGGCGCAAGCCUGAUCCAGCCAUUCCGCGUGCAGGAUGAAGGCCCUCGGGUUGUAAACUGCUUUGUACGGAACGAAAAGGCUUUCUCUAAUACAGGGAGCUCAUGACGGUACCGUAAGAAUAAGCACCGGCUAACUACGUGCCAGCAGCCGACGG